AGUCUUACGGAGCAAAACAGUAUCAUAUGCUUGGCAUACACAUGCAGAGGGCAAUGCUUGUUCUUCUUCUGGUAAACAUUCCCCUUGCAUUUGUAUGGGCCAAUACUGGCCACAUUCUUGAAUUCUUGGGUCAAGAUCCAGAAAUAUCAGCUGCUGCUGGCAACUAUGCUUGUUUCUUGAUACCUAGCCUUUUCGCUUACGCAAUCCUAGAAUCGCAUGCCAGAUUCCUGCAAGCUCAAAACAAUGUGGUUCCUUUGAUUGUUAGCACAGGAGUUGCAACGCUUGUGCACUUGCUUAACUGUUGGGUUCUGGUAUACAAGACCAGCCUUGGAUACAGAGGCGCUGCUUUGGCAACCUCCGUCACGUAUUCAAUCAAUGCAUUGUUAUUGGCUCUUUAUGUCAGAGUGUCUCCCUCUUGUAAGCUCACAUGGACUGGAUUCUCAAAGGAGGCCUUUCAUGGAAUUCCCAAUUUUUUAAAACUAUCAAUUCCUUCAGCUGUAAUGGUCAGGUAAUCUUUAGUUGACUCACCAUUGGAACAUUAAAGACUUGGAAUGGAUAUGUUAGUACUUAUUUGGUCUUAUGUCUGUGAACAGCUUAGAAGUCUGGUCGUUCGAAAUGAUAGUGCUCUUAUCUGGUUUUCUUCCUAAUCCAAAGCUUGAAACCUCAGCCCUCUCAAUCAGGUUUUGCAUUUGAUGCUAACGAAUGAAUUAACGAAAAUACAAAUUCUUGUUAGUAACCGAUUGUGAUACAAUUCCAGCUUUAACACAUGUUUAAUGGUCUACAUGAUUCCUCUGGCUUUCAGUGGUACAGUAAGGUAAGUGAGUUCACAGCUAGAUUUAAGUACUGCAUGCUUCUAUUGUGAGUACUUGUCCCAUAAAUUCUUUUAUGUUCUUUACUUGUACAUUGUCUGUUAGCACAAGAGUUUCAAAUCAAUUGGGAGCUGGGCAACCACGAAUGGUGUGUAUAGCAAUAUGCGUUGCACUAUCCAUUGUUGUUACUGAAGGCAUUGUGGCUGCUGCUGUCAUGAUAUUGGCUCGAAACGAUUGGGGUUACUGUUACAGCAGUGAAAAAGAGGUUGUGAAGUAUGUUGGAGAAAUGUUGAUUUUUGUCGCACUAUCCCACUUUUUUGAUGGACCUCAAUCUGUUCUUUCAGGU
rnacentral:lncRNA from 1 species